UUGACAUUGCCAAAUUGCAAAAAAAUUCUUGAAUUCAUUUUUUAAAUGAAAUAUAAUCAUUAAAUCAAAUAUAUUAGGUCUGUUCCUUUGUUUUUUAGUGUUACACUUUUGAGUGUAAGUGUACGAAAUUCUAUGGACAUUUGAGUGUAAAAUGACAGCGGAUGUGACAGCGGCUCAUGACAGCGGACAGUAUUAAACGAAAAUUAUCGGUGUGCCAAUCAAGCAAAGGGACAAGGAACUUCCGAAUAUGGCCUAACUGGGGGCACAUAACAUAACAUAACCUAAUCCUAAUAUUUACAUUUGUAAAGAAUAUCCUGUUUGUUUUUAUUGUCGAUUGUGCAGCGAAAUUGUGUGCAGCAAAUGUAGUUUAUCGCCUACAGAACUGAAUUAGUCCAUAGCAGUUAUCAGUUUUUCUUUCUUGGGAAGCUUAUACAUGUAACUUGUAUUGUUGUAAAUUGUGGGAGUAGGGCAGACAGGGAAAAGUCUUAUUUUGUACUGUUCCCAAGGCUCCCCAUGCAAUACAUUUAAAUGAAUUAUCCAAACAAAGCCGGGGACAAUGGAUAAAAGCCACAAGAAGAACAGAUAUAAGGGAACUAAAAUUAAAAUAUGAAAAGUAAACAUUUUAUAAGUGGAACAACCACCAGAUAUUUAAAAGGUAUAAAAAGAAGAAACUGCUGGAAUUUCAAAACAAAUGUGUUUGACUAGUAAAGAUUUGGAUAAAUAACAGGAGUUACUUUGGGCUAUAGCUACGUGCAGAUUUAUUUCCUUGUGGCUUCCUAUGUUAAUUCUUGUUAAUUAUACACUUAAAUAUGUUUUUAGUCUCAGGAAGAUUUUAUAUUUGAUUAUUUUUGAAUAAACAUUAUUAUUAUUA